UUCCAUGUGAAAUCAGAUACAGAGGAGAUUAGGGAAGGAAGAUAUAUAAAUGAUACUGGCAAAGAGCAUUGGCUGAGGAUGAAUUGAGUAAGAAGGCUGGGAGAUGCUAAAGCAAGCUGCAACUCUGAAAUGUCUAUGCUCACCAUUGCUCUACUGAUGCCAGAAAAAAUCUUCAGGGAAAAUCUCCACAGCUCAAGGAGGUUGGAAGUUAUAAUGGAGGAUGUGCUCAAUCUGGCAUCUUUCUACGGCACCCACUGCUUCCUUCUUCAGUCCAAGCUUGUAUUUCCAACAGUCCUGUGAACAUGUACACUCAGAUGUCCCUGGGAGCCUCAGAUCAUCACAUCCAAAAGGAACUCUUUACCUCUACUAAACCUGAUUCUACAUGUUCUGUGGCCAAUCUACAAAUUAAAUGAACAUAAGGCAGACCAACAGGAGAAAACCCAUCUUAAUUAUGUAUGUAUACACGGAAGUUCCUUGAACAUCUGAGACUGGCAAGUGGCCAGAUGAGAGAUUGAUUUCUCAUCCUAAGCUACAGAAAGGAAAGGAGCUUGGAACGUCUGAGAGGAUGGUAGAGACAAAUUAUGAGAAAGAAGAGCUGGCAUUCAGACUGAAGUUAUCUGACUACAAAACUUAAAUUUAUUGUCUCACUCAUAAAGAAGCAUUUCUGAGCUUAGCCUGAGAACACUGAAGGAGGCACGUUAUCAUCCUGGGCUUAGGAGACCAAGCAAGCUGUAGAGUCAGAUCCAAUUAAUUUGCACAACUUCUUCCCCACCUGUGGCUCUCAUUGACUCCCUCCGUUGGGCCCUCCUACUUCCAUUCACACUUCCCCUGAGACCAGAGGAAAGCAUUGCAAAGUAAGUAUGAUUUCCUUUGAGCAAC